AACGAACGCUGGCGGCAGGCUUAACACAUGCAAGUCGAACGCUCGUAGCAAUACGGGAGUGGCGGACGGGUGAGUAACGCGUGGGAACGUGCCCUGAGGUACGGAAUAACUGCGGGAAACUGCAGCUAAUACCGUAUGAGCCCCGUGAGGGGGAAAGAUUUAUCGCCUUAGGAGCGGCCCGCGUCGGAUUAGCUAGUUGGUGGGGUAACGGCUUACCAAGGCUUCGAUCCGUAGCUGGUCUGAGAGGACGAUCAGCCACACUGGGACUGAGACACGGCCCAGACUCCUACGGGAGGCAGCAGUGGGGAAUCUUGCGCAAUGGGGGCAACCCUGACGCAGCCAUGCCGCGUGAAUGAUGAAGGCCUUAGGGUUGUAAAGUUCUUUUGCCCGUGACGAUGAUGACGGUAACGGGAGAAUAAGCUCCGGCUAAACUUCGUGCCAGCAGCCGCGGUAAAAAUCACGUGUA
rnacentral:rRNA from 1 species